AUGGGACCUGGAAGAUACACAAGAAACAGAAGAAAAAGUUCUCAAAAUUGCGAAAGAGCAAUAUAGAGGCUGGCGAUCAACUCUAAGCUCCACUUACAAGGCAUACAAAACAGAUACAGCUAGAUUGGCUAAUCUGCCGGAAGAUUUGCAACCAGAAGAGUGGGAAUGGAUGAUUGAGUACUUUGGCACUGAUUCAAAAUUUCAGGAUCGCAGCCAAACGAACACUGAUAACCGUAAGAAACAGAAGACAAAACACAUAAUCGGAUCAAAAUCUUACUCGCAAGUUAGUUUUGAGAAGAGAAACUUGGAAACUGGAGAAGAGCCAGAUUGUAUUGCUCUGUGGGAACUCACCCACACGAACGAUGGAACAUUGUCUAACACAGAUUCCCAGAAAGUUU